rnacentral:rRNA from 1 species
GAGUGAACGCUGGCGGUAGGCCUAACCCAUGCAAGUCGAACGGCAGCACAGUAAGAGCUUGCUCUUACGGGUGGCGAGUGGCGGACGGGUGAGGAAUACAUCGGAAUCUACUUUUUCGUGGGGGAUAACGUAGGGAAACUUACGCUAAUACCGCAUACGACCUACGGGUGAAAGCAGGGGAUCUUCGGACCUUGCGCGAUUGAAUGAGCCGAUGUCGGAUUAGCUAGUUGGCGGGGUAAAGGCCCACCAAGGCGACGAUCCGUAGCUGGUCUGAGAGGAUGAUCAGCCACACUGGAACUGAGACACGGUCCAGACGCCUACGGGAGGCAGCAGUGGGGAAUAUUGGACAAUGGGCGCAAGCCUGAUCCAGCCAUACCGCGUGGGUGAAGAAGGCCUUCGGGUUGUAAAGCCCUUUUGUUGGGAAAGAAAAGCAGCAGGUUAAUACCCCGCUGUUCUGACGGUACCCAAAGAAUAAGCACCGGCUAACUUCGU